AACGAACGCUGGCGGCAGGCCUAACACAUGCAAGUCGAGCGAAGCCUUCGGGCUUAGCGGCGGACGGGUGAGUAACGCGUGGGAACGUGCCCUUUGGUACGGAAUAGCCCCGGGAAACUGGGAGUAAUACCGUAUGUGGUCGAGAGACGAAAGAUUUAUCGCCAAAGGAUCGGCCCGCGUUGGAUUAGGUAGUUGGUGGGGUAAUGGCCUACCAAGCCGACGAUCCAUAGCUGGUUUGAGAGGAUGAUCAGCCACACUGGGACUGAGACACGGCCCAGACUCCCACGGGAGGCAGCAGUGGGGAAUCUUAGACAAUGGGGGAAACCCUGAUCUAGCCAUGCCGCGUGAUCGAUGAAGGCCUUAGGGCUGUAAAGAUCUUUCAGUGGGGAAGAUAAUGACUGUACCCACAGAAGAAGCCCCGGCUAACUCCGUGCCAGCAGCCGCCGUAA
rnacentral:rRNA from 1 species